rnacentral:siRNA from 1 species
UGGAUUCGAUGAUAUCUUGGUA